rnacentral:tRNA from 1 species
GCCAGAGUGGCGAAAUCGGUAGACGCAGCGGACUCAAAAUCCGCCGAGGUUUCCUCUUGUCGGUUCGAGUCCGACCUCUGGUACCA